AUUGAACGCUGGCGGCAGGCCUAACACAUGCAAGUCGGACGGUAGCACAGAGGAGCUUGCUCCUCGGGUGACGAGUGGCGGACGGGUGAGUAAUGUCUGGGGAUCUGCCCGAUAGAGGGGGAUAACCACUGGAAACGGUGGCUAAUACCGCAUAACGUCGCAAGACCAAAGAGGGGGACCUUCGGGCCUCUCACUAUCGGAUGAACCCAGAUGGGAUUAGCUAGUAGGCGGGGUAACGGCCCACCUAGGAGACGAUCCCUAGCUGGUCGGAGAGUAUGACCCGCCACACUGGCACUGAUACACGGUCCAGACUCCGACGGGAGGCAGCAGUGGGGAAUAUUGCACAAUGGGCGCAAGCCUGAUGCAGCCAUGCCGCGUGUAUGAAGAAGGCCUUCGGGUUGUAAAGUACUUUCAGCGGGGAGGAAGGCGAUGUGGUUAAUAACCGCAUUGAUUGACGUUACCCGCAGAAGAAGCACCGGCUAACUCCGUGCCAGCCGCCGCGGUAA
rnacentral:rRNA from 1 species